AUGGAGCUCGCCAGACUAGAGAGGCUUCGCCGGAGCGCCUACAGAUUGAAGGCAUGAAUGGCUCGCGGCGAUCAUCAAAACGAUAAUGAUAAUUUCAUGGAUCCACCACAGCAGAAUCGGGCAACUGGACGGAUAAAAGAUGGCGAUGAGAAGAAGAAACGUACUCGCUACAGGGCCUCGCAGGAACGACUGACUUCAUUGACUGACAGAUUUACCGACGAUCAGAAGGGAGCUGCUGCUGAGAUGGGCGAAACUGAAAGAUGUGAAGAACAUGAAUUGAUGGUAACUGAUACUAAAUAUGGAAAACUACAGGCGAGGGCACCUGUUGAGCAUCUAAUUGGGCAGUUUGCAUCCGGAAUAACCAGCUUGCUCGUGAAGUUGGUUGAGGGGUGGACGUCCCUUAAUGGCUCUGACAGCGACACGGUUGCGAGGCAGUUCACUACAUUUGUUCCAGAACGGACACAUCGGCCAACUGGUUGGUAUGACUACAACAGUUCCCAAGAGCUUGCUGACACACAAGAUGAACUAGAUGGAGACGCUGGUCUCAACAAGGAUGACGACGAUGACAUGGAGAACAUGCAAGACGACACCGAUGAUGAUGAACAUGUUGAACUUCGUGCAGGUGGUAAGAAGGGCAAGGAUGCACCAGAUGUCCCCCCACCGGAGAAAGUCAAAGAACAUAUGGCUGCGAGAGGCGAGGGGGUGUUGCCAUCAAAGAGGCGGAGGGCUCCAGAGGAUGUUGGGGUGAAGAAGACUACUACAAGCGCGUCCAAGCAUAUCAUUAGGGACCCACUCGAACGCCUUCAUUCAAAGUUGUCAAUAGGGGGCAACUCAGAUGUUCAUGAGGCACCAGUCGACAAAACUGCUACUGCACCGUCAAUUGUUCCCACUAACUCUGACGUAAGUGGCCGACCAUCUCCGCCGGUUGCAGAUGUGCAGGCUAGAACAACAGGCAUCCGUACAUCGGGGAGUGACGAGUCGGUAUCUGCCAGGACAACUGAAAUAUUGCCCACUCUUCUGGCAAUGAAGGAUGCUGCUGUGAGCCAUGCCACCCCAUCAACAAGCGUUGAAGUGGACGCUCCCGAGACCAACCUAAGCAAGGAAGAUUCCCGCUCAUCUGACACUAAUUCCAAGCGCGUGCGUGGUGGCAUCCUGCGUCAUAGCCCCCGCAAGCAAUCAACAAACAUAACCCACGCACCAGCUGUAGCUAGGAGCAGCAGAGAUGAGUCUGGUUAUGUUCCUGCGUCCACACUGUUCCCGCCACCUGCCAAAAGCAAUGUGAUGGAUAAACCGGAAGACCGGAGCACAACUGAUGCAGGUGUCAAGCCGGGCACGAGUGACACAGGUGAACGUCCGGAGCAGACUGCGCCUUUACCCGCAGUGGAAAUCCCCAACUUAAAUCUGCGCACUUCCAAGCUCCCAGUCAAUGUUGGUGUGCCCUACAGCCCAAACAAGAAGAUUGUCAAGAAAGCUGUGGCUGAUACCGCUGAUAACACGCCUCACCCUACAAAUAAGCCCGAUGAUUCUGCAGCGGCCGAUUUAGAUAUGUUUGUUAAUCUUUCACCCUUGGAUUGUGCCCCGCAAGUUGUUCGCGGUCCGGCCAGUAGGCAUGAGAGGCACCCAAUGGCCUUCACCCCACCGAGCUUCAGCCUUGGCAUCAGUCAAGAUCAACCAGUGGUGCCAGAUCCUAUGCCAGUUGGCUUUGCUUUCCCGGGAGGCAUGCCCGCAAUGAUGGCGCAACCAAUGGUCGAGGGCAGGAAGGCUGUCAAGUUCGCAGAGCCGAUCGUCCAAGGCACCCCUGAGGAGAUUUCACCGUCACUUGAUGAAGCUUACCGCGGGAUCGAGGAGGCAGCAUUGCAGAGGAGGUCCUCACGAGGUCAGGGGCAAUCAAGUUCCAAUGUGCUUGCAGAUACGGUAUCCGAGGAUACCAUUAAGAGUGCCACCCCUGGUUCUGUGAGGCAGCAGAGGGUAGUUCACCCACCUCCCGCGGAAGACUACAAGCCCGAAGUCAAGGCCACAAAGGAGAAGACUCAGCUGUAUGAUAUUGUCAAGCGAUUUGGAAAUGCGAGGGCCAGCAGCAAGCACAUGAAGGAGCUGAAAGCCUCAUGUUUGGACAGAACCAAGGUCAUUCAAUGCGCAGCGACGUACGUCGACCUGGGUGAUCUUGCCGAGUCAGUGAGGUCGCUCAGUAAAAUGUCGACGAAUGUAGUUGCAUGUGGGAUUGACUACAUCAACAAGCAUAUGGAUAUGUCUCCCGACAAAACAAUCAUGCAUUACAGUGUGACCUGCAAAAUAUGGGAUGGUGACUUCCACCACAAAAUCCUGAGGAAGAAUUUUGCUGCGCACGGUGAAUUCAAGCUCACAGUGAAGAAAUGUGUCCUGUUCCCCAUGUUCCAGGAGCUUGCACCACAUGGCCAACACGACAAGUGUGAUCACCACUACGCGAUCUGCCUUGACCUGAAGAACCAACGCUUUGAGAGACAUGGAACCGUCACUAUGGAAACUCAAAGGACGGACUGUGGCUUUCACACGUUGGAAUACCUUGCAAAGUGGGAAGGUAGACUGGUUCCUGUCGUCACAGCUGCAACGGUCGUUGAGCUCCAGAAAAUUUACACAUGGAACUGGUUGACGAAUGAAGAUUUCAACAAGCGGUCUAGAGCACGUGAGUUCGUAGAGGAAGCUGUCAAGAAAGUCAUCAAGAAGUACAAGUGA
rnacentral:rRNA from 1 species